GAGAGAGGAACAGACACCCACACAUUUCCUUAUUACUACCAACCCAGGGGAUGUGGUACAUUACAUUUCAGAGGAAAAGGCACACAUUUCUUUUUCCUGGGCAUGGGGAGCUGUUAAGAUGGGGUGAUGGGGAUCAUGAGUCUAACGGAGUCUCAAACCACCGUCCCCUCGAGGGAAUCCAUGGUGGUUCAGGCCUGCUCUUUGCAGGAUAGCUCAGUGUAAAUAUUGCCGCAAUACUGUAAAUAUUUAAGUUCUCAAACAUGAGUCAGUUUGGAAAAAACAGACCCUGGGAGCAAAUCUAAUCAACCCCAGCCCCCCCUGGGUCCACUGCUUCUUUCAGUGGAUUCCUCAAAAUAUCUCUCUCUCUCUCUCUCCCCUCAACUCAUUUUUGACUCGAGGAGGAGGAUGAAAUUCCAAAAGACGGCCAUCACUUUCUGUGGAAGCGAAGGUGCACCGCAGGACUUUCCAGGACCCCCUCUGGGAAAGGUUAGCAAGAGCUGUCGGAGAACACGAUCCUGAAGCCAGCCGGUGGAGAUCCCACAGAGCGAGCGAGCGAGCGAGUCUUCUCAAGUCCUACUCAACCAGACUUGGGUGUUGCCAUCCCACCCUUGGACAGGGUUCCUUGCUCCCAUUACCGGACAAUUCCGGUUGACGGUCCGUCCUGCUCCGUUCCUCUCCAGGUCUCGCUUCGCCCUCGGUCGCUUAUAGCAAAGCCAGGCAUGAAAUGAAAAUUCAAUUAGUUUCAAGCAAAUGCCUUCCUAAGGAUAGAAGCCGAAAGAGAGAGAUGAAGAGAGGCAUGCGAGAGAGAAGGGACAGGAAAAAGGCACCUUUCAUCCUUGACUUUGCUGAAAAGAGACUUUGCCAGGGCACAAAGGACUGGCCACAUGACCACGGAAGCUAUCUUCCGACAAACGCUGGCCCUAUGGCUUGGAAACGGGGAUGAGCACCGCCCCCUAGAGUCAGACACGACUGGACUAAAUGUCAAGGGGAACCUUUACCUUUACCUUUUAAUUGUCGAUCACUAACAGCACCAACCAAUACUUCCUUCCCUGCCUCUAAUUCAAAGAUUCCUUCCUUCCUUCCUUCCUCCAUCAGCUCCUUCUUGCCUUUCAAUUCUCCUUGGGGAAUUCCAGAUGGACAGUUCCUUGUGCUACCACAAAAGACAUUAUGCAUUUCUUCCUAUUUUUUCCCUGGGGGAACAGACAGCAGAAGCAGCAGGGAACAGGAGGGGAUUCCGGGAUGAAAAUGACUAAGUCUGGGAAGGCCCAUAAUAUUUUGUUAAUGAAACAGAGCACUUGCCUUUGAAAAGCCUCAAAUAGGUUUUAAUCUGGCAACAGAUGUGAACUAUGUAAAAACAAUGGAGGGCCAAGUCUCUCCUUAGGAGAAAUACACAUUUCCUGAUAUUACAGUAUUUUCCUCCAGACACAAAAUUCUUAAAGCUCUGUGCCUGAGCAAAUAGACUUGCAAAUGAAGUCCAUGUUGACCUUCUGAUGAGUGAUCAAGACAUAAAAUCUGCAGCAUGUAGAAUUAGAUAAACUCAUGCUGAGGGAAACUGAACUCGCUCUCCUUUUAAGGGAGCCCCAAGUCUUAUGAUGUGCUCAACGUAUCAUCGAGUUCUGUCCACAGGUGUAACACAACAUAAUCGGGAGAAUGAGGGUUUCAAUUCCUGUGAAGAA
rnacentral:lncRNA from 1 species